rnacentral:rRNA from 1 species
AGGAUUAACGCUGGCGGCGUGCAUGAAACAUGCAAGUCGAGCGCGGUGUGAUGCGGGGUAACCCAAUUCACAUCUAGCGGCGAACGGGUGAGUAACACGUGAGCAACCUACCUUUGAGUUGGGGAUAGCCCUGGGAAACCAGGAUUAAUACCCGAUGUGGUCACAACAGGACAUCCUGAUGUGAGUAAAGGCGUAAGCCGCUCAAUGACGGGCUCGCGGCCUAUUAGCUUGUUGGUGGGGUAACGGCCUACCAAGGCGAUGAUGGGUAGCUGGUCUGAGAGGACGAUCAGCCACACUGGGACUGAGACACGGCCCAGACUCCUACGGGAGGCAGCAGUUAGGAAUUUUCCGCAAUGGGCGAAAGCCUGACGGAGCAACGCCGCGUGAGUGAUGAAGACCUUCGGGUUGUAAGCUCUGUCGGAGGGAAGAACACAAUGACGGUACCUCCAAGAAAGCCCCGGCUAACUACGUGCCAGCAGCCGC